AGUUGAGCAGGUCACCUCUCACACCCGCGCCUCUACAAGGGAGCGAACAACACACCAAUUAUGCUUCAUCUGAGCGCCAUCGCUUACUUGUGUCUCCACUUUCAAGUCGCAGAUUGUGCUGCCCCUGAGGUCAACCAGAGCCCUGCCUACCUCUCCAUCUCUGAGGGAAAGACGGCCAAUCUUAGUUGUGUCUACGCUGUUAACAAGUGCGAAGACAUUAUGAUCAACUGGUUUUAUAAGCCCCCAAAUCAGGUAAACCUGACGUGCAUUUUGUUCUCGGGCAACCCCAGAGGGAAAGCUUCCCAUCGCCUCAGAAAUAUAACAGAUACAGAACAAAACACAAAUUGGUUAUCGAUAGAGAACCUUCAGCGUGAAGACAGCGGCACCUAUUACUGUGUGUUGGAGAUACUCACUCCACCUUUCAAUAACGUCAGAGGAAAUGGAAGCAGGAAAGUGCCGGACCUGAGAAUGUACAGUUACCUUCCAACUUCUUAA